rnacentral:misc_RNA from 1 species
GAAAUGCGAUAAGUAAUGUGAAUUGCAGAAUUCAGUGAAUCAUCGAAUCUUUGAACGCACCUUGCGCUCCUUGGUAUUCCUUGGAGCAUGCCUGUUUGAGUAUCAUGAAAUCUUCAAAGUAAAUCUUUUGUUAACUCAAUUGGUUUCUACUUUGGUAUUGGAGGUCUUUGCAGCUUCACACCUGCUCCUCUUUGUUCAUUAGCUGGAUCUCAGUGUUAUGCUUGGUUCCACUCGGCGUGAUAAGUUAUCUAUCGCCGAGGACACUGUAAAAGGUGGCCAAGGUAAAUGCAGAUGAACCGCUUCUAAUAGUCCAUUGACUUGGACAAUACUUUUAUGAUCUGAUCUCAAAUCAGGUAGGACUACCCGCUGAACUUAAGC